CCUACGGGUGGCUGCAGUGGGGAAUAUUGCGCAAUGGGCGAAAGCCUGACGCAGCGACGCCGCGUGAGGGAUGAAGGUCUUCGGAUCGUAAACCUCUGUCAGCAGGGAAGAACGGUCACUGUGCUAAUCAGCAGUGAAUUGACGGUACCUGCAAAGGAAGCACCGGCUAACUCCGUGCCAGCAGCCGCGGUAAUACGGAGGGUGCGAGCGUUAAUCGGAAUUACUGGGUUUAAAGGGUGCGUAGGCGGAACAUUAAGUCAGCGGUAAAAUCGAGGGGCUCAACCCCUUUAAGCCGUUGAAACUGGUGAUCUUGAGUGGGCGAGAAGUAUGCGGAAUGCGUGGUGUAGCGGUGAAAUGCAUAGAUAUCACGCAGAACUCCGAUUGCGAAGGCAGCAUACCGGCGCCCGACUGACGCUGAGGCACGAAAGCGUGGGGAUCGAACAGGAUUAGAUACCCGAGUAGUC
rnacentral:rRNA from 1 species